GGGUAUUGAAGUAAAAUAGUUACAUUUAGUUUCGACCUAAAUUCAGAAAUAAAUUUCCUUGCCUA
rnacentral:tRNA from 1 species